rfam:Brachypodium distachyon strain Bd21 chromosome 2, whole genome shotgun sequence.
CAUGUACUCCCUCCGUCCCAUAAUAAGUGACUUUCUAUUACAUGUAUCUAGACGCUUUUUAUACAUAGAUACAUCUAUAUUUGGGGAAAUUUGAGUCACUUAAUAUGGGACGGAGGGAGUGACAC